UGUCGAGGUGGAAACACGACAACGUGGGACAGCGGCAUUGGGGGACUUUCGGUUACAAGCCACAUUGCUACCCAACUGGAAGACAGCGUGUGUCUGGAGCCCGACGGCCUCUCCCACAGCGGCGGAGACGACCUUGAGGAAGGGCUGCAGUUCUCCAUCUGGGUGUCCUUUUACGAGAUCUACAACGAGUUCCUGUACGACUUACUGGACGCCGCGUCCUCUCUGCAGCCGAGAAAGAGGGUCACGCUGCGACUUAGCGACGACAAGCACGGCAAUCCCUACGUGAAGGACCUCACAUGGGUUCAGGUCCGGAGUGCAGAGGAAGCUUGGAAGAUUCUGAGAACCGGACAUCGAAACCAAAGUUUUGCCAGCACACAUCUCAACCAAAACUCGAGUCGUAGGUAG